GCGGCGUGCUUAACACAUGCAAGUCGAACGGUGAAGCCAAGCUUGCUUGGUGGAUCAGUGGCGAACGGGUGAGUAACACGUGAGCAACCUGCCCUGGACUCUGGGAUAAGCGCUGGAAACGGCGUCUAAUACUGGAUAUGUGACGUGAUCGCAUGGUCGUGUUUGGAAAGAUUUUUCGGUCUGGGAUGGGCUCGCGGCCUAUCAGCUUGUUGGUGAGGUAAUGGCUCACCAAGGCGUCGACGGGUAGCCGGCCUGAGAGGGUGACCGGCCACACUGGGACUGAGACACGGCCCAGACUCCUACGGGAGGCAGCAGUGGGGAAUAUUGCACAAUGGGCGGAAGCCUGAUGCAGCAACGCCGCGUGAGGGAUGACGGCCUUCGGGUUGUAAACCUCUUUUAGCAGGGAAGAAGCGAAAGUGACGGUACCUGCAGAAAAAGCGCCGGCUAACUACGUGCCAGCAGCCGCGGUAAUACGUAGGGCGCAAGCGUUAUCCGGAAUUAUUGGGCGUAAAGAGCUCGUAGGCGGUUUGUCGCGUCUGCUGUGAAAUCCCGAGGCUCAACCUCGGGCCUGCAGUGGGUACGGGCAGACUAGAGUGCGGUAGGGGAGAUUGGAAUUCCUGGUGUAGCGGUGGAAUGCGCAGAUAUCAGGAGGAACACCGAUGGCGAAGGCAGAUCUCUGGGCCGUAACUGACGCUGAGGAGCGAAAGGGUGGGGAGCAAACAGGCUUAGAUACCCUGGUAGUCCACCCCGUAAACGUUGGGAACUAGUUGUGGGGACCAUUCCACGGUUUCCGUGACGCAGCUAACGCAUUAAGUUCCCCGCCUGGGGAGUACGGCCGCAAGGCUAAAACUCAAAGGAAUUGACGGGGACCCGCACAAGCGGCGGAGCAUGCGGAUUAAUUCGAUGCAACGCGAAGAACCUUACCAAGGCUUGACAUAUACGAG
rnacentral:rRNA from 1 species